rnacentral:rRNA from 1 species
AGAGUUUGAUCAUGGCUCAGGACGAACGCUGGCGGCGUGCUUAACACAUGCAAGUCGAACGAUGAAGCCCUUCGGGGUGGAUUAGUGGCGAACGGGUGAGUAACACGUGGGCAAUCUGCCCUGCACUCUGGGACAAGCCCUGGAAACGGGGUCUAAUACCGGAUACUGAUCGCCUUGGGCAUCCUUGGUGAUCGAAAGCUCCGGCGGUGCAGGAUGAGCCCGCGGCCUAUCAGCUUGUUGGUGAGGUAAUGGCUCACCAAGGCGACGACGGGUAGCCGGCCUGAGAGGGCGACCGGCCACACUGGGACUGAGACACGGCCCAGACUCCUACGGGAGGCAGCAGUGGGGAAUAUUGCACAAUGGGCGAAAGCCUGAUGCAGCGACGCCGCGUGAGGGAUGACGGCCUUCGGGUUGUAAACCUCUUUCAGCAGGGAAGAAGCGAAAGUGACGGUACCUGCAGAAGAAGCGCCGGCUAACUACGUGCCAGCAGCCGCGGUAAUACGUAGGGCGCGAGCGUUGUCCGGAAUUAUUGGGCGUAAAGAGCUCGUAGGCGGCUUGUCGCGUCGGUUGUGAAAGCCCGGGGCUUAACCCCGGGUCUGCAGUCGAUACGGGCAGGCUAGAGUUCGGUAGGGGAGAUCGGAAUUCCUGGUGUAGCGGUGAAAUGCGCAGAUAUCAGGAGGAACACCGGUGGCGAAGGCGGAUCUCUGGGCCGAUACUGACGCUGAGGAGCGAAAGCGUGGGGAGCGAACAGGA